AUCAAGAUAUUUCAGUUGGAAGAAUAUUGGGCUCAUAAGCACUUACGUGUUACGCGACCCAAAGGUCCCUGGAUCGAGACCAGGUCUUGAUA